rnacentral:rRNA from 1 species
AUUACUCCUACGGGAGGCAGCAGUGAGGAAUAUUGGUCAAUGGGCGCAAGCCUGAACCAGCCAUCCCGCGUGCAGGAAGACGGCGCUAUGCGUUGUAAACUGCUUUUCCAGGGAGAGAAACUUGCGCACGUGUUGCGCAAUUGACGGUACCCUGGGAAUAAGCAUCGGCUAACUCCGUGCCAGCAGCCGCGGUAAUACGGAGGAUGCGAGCGUUAUCCGGAUUCAUUGGGUUUAAAGGGUGCGUAGGCGGACUAUUAAGUCAGUGGUGAAAUCCUGCAGCUUAACUGCAGAACUGCCAUUGAUACUGAUAGCCUUGAGUUUGGUUAAGGUAGGCGGAAUGUGUAAUGUAGCGGUGAAAUGCUUAGAUAUUACACAGAACACCAAUUGCGUAGGCAGCUUACUGAGCCGACACUGACGCUGAGGCACGAAAGCGUGGGGAUCGAACAGGAUUAGAUACCCUGGUAGUCAU